ensembl:lincRNA Gm43194 predicted gene 43194
UGCUUCCACAUCAUGGAAGCAAAAGAGCCUAUUUCGGAGAAGAAGAUUGGCAAGUCUGGGCAGUGUGUCCCCACCUCUCUCCUGCUUGGUGCUCAGCGCUCUCCCUGGCUACCACUUCAGGCCUGUAAUGAUGUUUGUUUCUAGUCACUUUAUGGCUGUGCUGCUGCAAUUUUAGGGCCUUUUGAGCUGAAUGGCAGGAUAGCUUCCUCAGUCCUGUAGGGGAGCAUAAUUAUCAAGCAGAGGCUGAGUGGAGAUGAAAGGAUGGCUGUCGAAGGAGUGAAAAUGAAGUCACAAAGUGGAAGAACUUCAACAUAUGAAAUUGGAGUAAGAAAAGGAAACCAUGAGCUGCCCAGGACUGCUACCUGGUGUGGCUCUUCAUAUAUUGACUAGGACUGUUCUACAAAGUACUGAAUCCCUAAACCACAGCUGGCUUCCUCCUGCCUUCAUCUUCUGCUGCCUGGAAGAUGGGGAGAAGAUUUUCAGCAACUUCUCUCAGAAUUCUUCACCUCCUUCCUGUUUUCUGUCAGAGGUUUUCUGUUAUUUCCAAUCCAUUCACUGUUCCCCAGCUUACAGUCACUCUUCCAGGGGAAACAGAUUCCACUUUACCUUGUAUCUACUUUUACUUGAAGAGGAGAUGAAGCAUGAUGGGGGGGGGGCGGGGGCAGAUUUCCAUAAAUCUGGGUCAGCAGACUGGCAAGAUAGGGUGGGAGAAGUAAUCCAAGAUGAAAGCUCCAAACUCAAGGUGAUCAAACCCAAGGUCCAAUGCUGUCAAACAGAGUGCAUGUAAAACAGAGGAGAAAACAAAACAAAACAAAAAGAAAAUGAAGGAUUGAAACUAUGUAACAGAUCUGAGUGUCACUUAUGAGUCAAGCCAGCAUCACCUGAAAACAAUCAGCAACAAAACAAAACAAAACCUUAUGUUUCUACUACAUUGUGAAGGAAGGCUCAUGGGCUCCAACAGCUGAGAAACUUGAUUUCCGGGCAAAGGAAAGAUGAGGAAAAAUAGCACCAAUUAACUCUACAUCAAGACAAGAGCCCUAUUUUAGAUAUGAACUGAUUCUUGGAAACUGUAUGGCUAUAUUGUGUGAAUAUUUGUUUCUGUUUUAUUUUUUCUACAGCUUAAAGUUUGAUUUAAAUCAGAGGUUUUUAUUCCUGUCUACUUCUUCAGUUUAGGUGUAGAACUAUAUUCUGGCGACCAAUGUAAUGGGAAUGUUUUAAGAAGGUAAAUACCUUUUGUUAGGUAUCAUGAAGCCUACAUAUAGUUCAACUCUACUUGCACAAAGAAUGGUUAAGGUGAAUUUCUCUCAAAAUUAAUAACUUUGGGAAGGGAAAAAGUCUCUCUCUCUCUCUCUCUCUCUCUCUCUCUUUCUCUCUCUCUCUCUCUCAUUCACACACACACACACACACACACACACACAUCACCUGAAGGAAAGUCCAAACAUAUGAAAAGAUAGUAAUAGUGAUUUAUGGACCAUUUUCUCGGUGUAAAAUCCUCUGCCAAAACAAUGGGCUUACAAAAUCUUUUUUUCUCACUCAAUCCAAAGGCAUAAUCAUUUUACAUACUAAGAAACUCAAAUCACACUGAGUUUCUUGUAUAUUAGCUAUAUGAUCCUUUUUUAUAUUCUGGAUUCUAAUCUAUUCUUUAUUAUUUCAAAUUUUAUAACUUAAAAUGCUUUCCAGGACAUGUGGACUAAACUUGCUGAAGAGUAAAUUAACCUUAUUAUGCUUUAUUCCAGAUAAAGAAUAAUACUGAUAGCAUAGUUUCUUACAUUUCUCAAAAUCAGGGGGAAAAAUGACAGAAACAAAAUAUAUAGAAGUAGAAGUUUAAUUCUGUAUGGACUAGGCACAAAUUUCUCAAGUUAUUGAACUGUGUUGGUAGUAAUGAAAAAGAAAGCAUAAGAAGAAAUAAAUUAACUUGUGGGGAUUUCAACAAUAAAGUAAAGAUUUCACUAAUAAAACUGUAAUGGG